AUCUAUCUGAUGAGUCCAAAAUAGGAUGAAACGCGUGUCUUGGUU
rnacentral:hammerhead_ribozyme from 1 species